AGAGUUUGAUCCUGGCUCAGGAUGAACGCUAGCUACAGGCUUAACACAUGCAAGUCGAGGGGAAACGAUAUUGGAAGCUUGCUUCCGAUAGGCGUCGACCGGCGCACGGGUGAGUAACGCGUAUCCAACCUGCCCAUCACUUGGGAAUAACCUUGCGAAAGUAAGACUAAUGCCCAAUGACAUUUAUAGAAGGCAUCGGAAAUGAAUUAAAGAUUUAUCGGUGAUGGAUGGGGAUGCGUCUGAUUAGCUUGUUGGCGGGGUAACGGCCCACCAAGGCGACGAUCAGUAGGGGUUCUGAGAGGAAGGUCCCCCACAUUGGAACUGAGACACGGUCCAAACUCCUACGGGAGGCAGCAGUGAGGAAUAUUGGUCAAUGGGCGAGAGCCUGAACCAGCCAAGUAGCGUGCAGGAUGACGGCCCUAUGGGUUGUAAACUGCUUUUAUAGGGGAAUAAAGUGAUCCACGUGUGGUUUUUUGCAUGUACCCUAUGAAUAAGGACCGGCUAAUUCCGUGCCAGCAGCCGCGGUAAUACGGAAGGUCCGGGCGUUAUCCGGAUUUAUUGGGUUUAAAGGGAGCGUAGGCCGGAGAUUAAGCGUGUUGUGAAAUGUAGAUGCUCAACAUCUGCACUGCAGCGCGAACUGGUUUCCUUGAGUACGCAUAAAGUGGGCGGAAUUCGUGGUGUAGCGGUGAAAUGCUUAGAUAUCACGAAGAACUCCGAUUGCGAAGGCAGCUCACUGGGGCGCAACUGACGCUGAAGCUCGAAAGCGCGGGUAUCGAACAGGAUUAGAUACCCUGGUAGUCCGCGCGGUAAACGAUGGAUGCCCGCUGUUGGGCCAACUGGUUCAGCGGCCAAGCGAAAGCAUUAAGCAUCCCACCUGGGGAGUACGCCGGCAACGGUGAAACUCAAAGGAAUUGACGGGGGCCCGCACAAGCGGAGGAACAUGUGGUUUAAUUCGAUGAUACGCGAGGAACCUUACCCGGGCUUGAAUUGCAGAGGAAGGAUUUGGAGACAAUGACGCCCUUCGGGGCCUCUGUGAAGGUGCUGCAUGGUUGUCGUCAGCUCGUGCCGUGAGGUGUCGGCUUAAGUGCCAUAACGAGCGCAACCCCUCUCCAUAGUUGCCAUCAGGUUAAGCUGGGCACUCUGUGGACACUGCCACCGUAAAGUGUGAGGAAGGUGGGGAUGACGUCAAAUCAGCACGGCCCUUACGUCCGGGGCUACACACGUG
rnacentral:rRNA from 1 species